rnacentral:rRNA from 1 species
UGGGGAAUAUUGGACAAUGGGGGGUACCCUGAUCCAGCCAUGCCGCGUGUGUGAAGAAGGCCUUAUGGUUGUAAAGCACUUUAAGCGAGGAGGAGGGUACUGGUAUUAAUACUACCAGCUACUGGACGUUACUCGCAGAAUAAGCACCGGCUAACUCUGUGCCAGCAGCCGCGGUAAUACAGAGGGUGCGAGCGUUAAUCGGAUUUACUGGGCUUAAAGCGUGCGUAGGCGGCUAAUUGAGUCGGAUGUGAAAUCCCCGAGCUUAACUUGGGAAUUGCAUUCGAUACUGGUUAGCUAGAGUGUGGGAGAGGAUGGUAGAAUUCCAGGUGUAGCGGUGAAAUGCGUAGAGAUCUGGAGGAAUACCGAUGGCGAAGGCAGCCAUCUGGCCUAACACUGACGCUGAGGUACGAAAGCAUGGGGAGCAAACAGG